rnacentral:rRNA from 1 species
GACGAACGCUGGCGGCGUGCCUAAUACAUGCAAGUCGAACGCAGUGGGGACGGGUGAGUAACCCGUGGGUCCCCUCCCAUCAGAGGGGAUAACACUUGGAAACAGGUGCUAAACCGAUAGUGAUGGAUGGACCCGCGGUGCAUUAGCUCGUUGGGGAGGUAACGGCGCACCAAGGCCACGAUGGAUGGCAGGCCUGGGCGGGUGAUGGGCUACACUGGGACGGGGACACGGGCGAGACUCCUACGGGAGGCAGCGGUGGGGAAUCUUCGGCAAUUGGCGCAAGUGUUGACGGGCAACGCCGCGUCAGGGAAGAAGGUGUUCGGGUCGUAAGACUCUGUUGUUAGAGAAGCGGUAUCUAACCAGAAAGCCACGGCUAACUACGUGCCAGCCGCCGCGGUAAUUC